UCUUGGUCAUUUAGAGGAAGUAAAAGUCGUAACAAGGUUUCCGUAGGUGAACCUGCGGAAGGAUCAUUAACGAGUUUUGAAAGGGGUUGUAGCUGGCCUUUCACGAGGCAUGUGCACACCCUGCUCAUCCACUCUCAACCUCUGUGCACUUAUUGUAGGUCGGUGAAAGGCUCGCAAGAGCUGGAAGCCUGCUUAUGUUUUACUACAAACGCUUCAGUUAUAGAAUGUUUACUUGCGUAUAACGGCAUUUAUAUACAACUUUCAGCAACGGAUCUCUUGGCUCUCGCAUCGAUGAAGAACGCAGCGAAAUGCGAUAAGUAAUGUGAAUUGCAGAAUUCAGGUGAAUCAUCGAAUCUUUGAACGCACCUUGCGCUCCCUGGUAUUCCGGGGAGCACGGCCCGUUUGAGUGUCAUGGUAUUCUCAACCUUCAUAACUUUGUUGUUAUCGAAGGCUUGGAUGUGGAGGUCGUGCUGGCUCUCACGAGUCAGCUCCUCUGAAAUGCAUUAGCGUGAACGUUUACGGAUCGCUAUCAGUGUGAUAAUUAUCUGCGCUGUUAGUGUUGAAGUAUGUUUAGUGUCGCGCUUCUAACCGUCCUUCAGUUGGACAACUUAUCUGACAUCUGGCCUC
rnacentral:rRNA from 1 species